AUGGCGGCCCCGAGGACGAUGAGAGCCAUGCAGUAUGACAAGUACGGCGAUGGAGCUGAAGGCCUCAAGGUACAUGCUCGUCGCCAUAACGAGCUGUCUCCAAACAGACUUGACAUGCGUCGUGUAAGGUUCAAUGACCGAAAGGUGAGGUUCAGACGCUGCCGCAAUCCGUGCGACGUAUGGCUCGGAGAACUUCUUGCAUUCCUACUAGAGUGA
rnacentral:rRNA from 1 species